rnacentral:rRNA from 1 species
AAUUUUGGACAAUGGGCGCAAGCCUGAUCCAGCCAUGCCGCGUGAGUGAAGAAGGCCUUCGGGUUGUAAAGCUCUUUCGGACGGAAAGAAAUCGCGCAGGCUAAUACCCUGCGCGGAUGACGGUACCGUCAUAAGAAGCACCGGCUAACUACGUGCCAGCAGCCGCGGUAAUACGUAGGGUGCGAGCGUUAAUCGGAAUUACUGGGUGUAAAGGGUGCUCAGGUGGGUUUGUAAGUCAGAGGUGAAAUCCCAAAGCUUAACUUUGGAGCUGCCUUUGAUACUGCAAGUCUGGAGUUUGAGAGAGGGCAAUGGAAUAUCUGGUGUAGCAGUGAAAUGCGUAGAUAUCAGAUAGAACACCAAUGGCGAAGGCAGUUGCCUGGCUCAAAACUGACGCUAAAGCACGAAAGUGUGGGGAGCAAACAGG